GGUUAAGCGACUAAGCGUACACGGUGGAUGCCCUGGCAGUCAGAGGCGAUGAAGGGCGUGCUAAUCUGCGAUAAGCGCCGGUAAGGUGAUAUGAACCGUUAUAACCGGCGAUACCCGAAUGGGGAAACCCAGUGUGAUUCGUCACACUAUCAUUAACUGAAUCCAUAGGUUAAUGAGGCGAACCGGGGGAACUGAAACAUCUAAGUACCCCGAGGAAAAGAAAUCAACCGAGAUUCCCCCAGUAGCGGCGAGCGAACGGGGAGGAGCCCAGAGCCUGAAUCAGCAUGUGUGUUAGUGGAAGCGUCUGGAAAGGCGCGCGAUACAGGGUGACAGCCCCGUACACAAAAGCGCAUGUGCUGUGAGCUCGAUGAGUAGGGCGGGACACGUGGUAUCCUGUCUGAAUAUGGGGGGACCAUCCUCCAAGGCUAAAUACUCCUGACUGACCGAUAGUGAACCAGUACCGUGAGGGAAAGGCGAAAAGAACCCCGGCGAGGGGAGUGAAAAAGAACCUGAAACCGUGUACGUACAAGCAGUGGGAGCACAGGUUUACCUGUGUGACUGCGUACCUUUUGUAUAAUGGGUCAGCGACUUAUAUUCUGUAGCAAGGUUAACCGAAUAGGGGAGCCGGAGGGAAACCGAGUCUUAACCGGGCGUUAAGUUGCAGGGUAUAGACCCGAAACCCGGUGAUCUAGCCAUGGGCAGGUUGAAGGUUGGGUAACACUAACUGGAGGACCGAACCGACUAAUGUUGAAAAAUUAGCGGAUGACCUGUGGCUGGGGGUGAAAGGCCAAUCAAACCGGGAGAUAGCUGGUUCUCCCCGAAAGCUAUUUAGGUAGCGCCUCGUGAAUUCAUCUCCGGGGGUAGAGCACUGUUUCGGCUAGGGGGCCAUCCCGGCUUACCAACCCGAUGCAAACUGCGAAUACCGGAGAAUGUUAUCACGGGAGACACACGGCGGGUGCUAACGUCCGUCGUGAAGAGGGAAACAACCCAGACCGCCAGCUAAGGUCCCAAAGUCAUGGUUAAGUGGGAAACGAUGUGGGAAGGCCCAGACAGCCAGGAUGUUGGCUUAGAAGCAGCCAUCAUUUAAAGAAAGCGUAAUAGCUCACUGGUCGAGUCGGCCUGCGCGGAAGAUGUAACGGGGCUAAACCAUGCACCGAAGCUGCGGCAGCGAACGUAUCACUUAAAGCGAUUCAGCGGGUUACGAUUGACGGAGCGAAGCGACGUCAAAGCGUAUACAAAGUCGAGUCGGUUUAAGGAUACGUUCGUUGGGUAGGGGAGCGUUCUGUAAGCCUGCGAAGGUGGCCUGUGAGGGUUGCUGGAGGUAUCAGAAGUGCGAAUGCUGACAUAAGUAACGAUAAAGCGGGUGAAAAGCCCGCUCGCCGGAAGACCAAGGGUUCCUGUCCAACGUUAAUCGGGGCAGGGUGAGUCGACCCCUAAGGCGAGGCCGAAAGGCGUAGUCGAUGGGAAACGGGUCNNNNNNNNNNNNNNNNNNNNNNNNNNNNNNNNNNNNNNNNNNNNNNNNNNNNNNNNNNNNNNNNNNNNNNNNNNNNNNNNNNNNNNNNNNNNNNNNNNUAAUAUUCCCGUACUUGGUGUUACUGCGAAGGGGGGACGGAGAAGGCUAUGUUGGCCGGGCGACGGUUGUCCCGGUUUAAGCGUGUAGGUGUGUGUUCCAGGUAAAUCCGGUUCACUUUAACACUGAGGCGUGAUGACGAGGCACUACGGUGCUGAAGUAACAAAUGCCCUGCUUCCAGGAAAAGCCUCUAAGCAUCAGGUAACAUCAAAUCGUACCCCAAACCGACACAGGUGGUCAGGUAGAGAAUACCAAGGCGCUUGAGAGAACUCGGGUGAAGGAACUAGGCAAAAUGGUGCCGUAACUUCGGGAGAAGGCACGCUGACACGUAGGUGAAGUGAUUUACUCACGGAGCUGAAGUCAGUCGAAGAUACCAGCUGGCUGCAACUGUUUAUUAAAAACACAGCACUGUGCAAACACGAAAGUGGACGUAUACGGUGUGACGCCUGCCCGGUGCCGGAAGGUUAAUUGAUGGGGUCAGCGCAAGCGAAGCUCCUGAUCGAAGCCCCGGUAAACGGCGGCCGUAACUAUAACGGUCCUAAGGUAGCGAAAUUCCUUGUCGGGUAAGUUCCGACCUGCACGAAUGGCGUAAUGAUGGCCAGGCUGUCUCCACCCGAGACUCAGUGAAAUUGAACUCGCUGUGAAGAUGCAGUGUACCCGCGGCAAGACGGAAAGACCCCGUGAACCUUUACUAUAGCUUGACACUGAACAUUGAGCCUUGAUGUGUAGGAUAGGUGGGAGGCUUUGAAGUGUGGACGCCAGUCUGCAUGGAGCCGACCUUGAAAUACCACCCUUUAAUGUUUGAUGUUCUAACGUGGACCCGUUACCCGGGUUGCGGACAGUGUCUGGUGGGUAGUUUGACUGGGGCGGUCUCCUCCUAAAGAGUAACGGAGGAGCACGAAGGUUGGCUAAUCCUGGUCGGACAUCAGGAGGUUAGUGCAAUGGCAUAAGCCAGCUUGACUGCGAGCGUGACGGCGCGAGCAGGUGCGAAAGCAGGUCAUAGUGAUCCGGUGGUUCUGAAUGGAAGGGCCAUCGCUCAACGGAUAAAAGGUACUCCGGGGAUAACAGGCUGAUACCGCCCAAGAGUUCAUAUCGACGGCGGUGUUUGGCACCUCGAUGUCGGCUCAUCACAUCCUGGGGCUGAAGCAGGUCCCAAGGGUAUGGCUGUUCGCCAUUUAAAGUGGUACGCGAGCUGGGUUUAGAACGUCGUGAGACAGUUCGGUCCCUAUCUGCCGUGGGCGCUGGAGAACUGAGGGGGGCUGCUCCUAGUACGAGAGGACCGGAGUGGACGCAUCACUGGUGUUCGGGUUGUCAUGCCAAUGGCACUGCCCGGUAGCUAAAUGCGGAAGAGAUAAGUGCUGAAAGCAUCUAAGCACGAAACUUGCCCCGAGAUGAGUUCUCCCUGAGACUUAGAGUCUCCUGAAGGAACGUUGAAGACGACGACGUUGAUAGGCCGGGUGUGUAAGCGCAGCGAUGCGUUGAGCUAACCGGUACUAAUGAACCGUGAGGCUUAACCUU
rnacentral:rRNA from 1 species